rnacentral:rRNA from 1 species
AUUGAACGCUGGCGGCAGGCCUAACACAUGCAAGUCGAACGAGUGGCGGACGGGUGAGUAAUGUCUGGGAAACUGCCUGAUGGAGGUGGAUAACUCCUGGCAACGGUAGCUAAUACCGCAUACCAUCGGAUGUGCCCAUAUGGGAUUAGCUAGUAGGUGUGGUAAAGGCUCACCUAGGCGACGAUCCCUAGCUGGUCUGAGAGGAGGACGAGCAACACUGGAACUGAGACACGGGCCAGACGCCUACGGGAGGCAGCAGGGGGGAAUAUGGCAAAAUGGGCGCAAGCCUGAUGCAGCCAUGCCGGGUGUAUGAAGAAGGACUUCGGGUUGUAAAGUACUUUCAGCGGGGAGGCGUUACCCGCAGAAGAAGCACCGGCUAACUCCGUGCCAGCAGCCGCGGUAAUUC